rnacentral:lncRNA from 1 species
GAAAAGAGCGAAACUAAGAACCCUCAUUGUGAAAUAGUUCAGUCUCUACCAUUGGAACCCCAAAGACAAAUAUCGAGGAUGACAUAACAAUCUACAAAGCUAAACCUUUGGUUAGACAGCCUUGCAAAUGAAAAUUUCCUACCAACUGUUUGGUAGGUAUUUUUUACUCUUAUCCUCAGUAUGAUGCAGUUGGGUAUUCCUUGAGUCUCCUCUGAGCAGCUAUAGCAGUAGCCAUGGAAGGAGGUAGGUGUCUUAGGCUUCUUUUGCAUCACCAAUUAAUACUGCGAUGGAAUCUUAAGGUAUAAUAUAUUUUUAUUGGAGUUUUGAGUGUUUGAAACACUAAUGAUGAGGCACGUUUGUAAAAUCUUACCUCAACGAAACUCUAAUUUUCAAUGAAAAAAGAAGCAAUCCUAAUUAAAUUAUUAUUUUUUUACAAUUUUAACUUUUUAUCUAAUAUAUAUUUGUAUUGCUGAUGUUUUUAAAAAAAAAUAGUAGUUAUGUAUUAUCAUUAUAAAAUUAAUAUUAAUUAAUUAAAAAUAAACAUUUUAAUAAAUACAUUUUAUUAAAUGAAUUUAUAAAUUCACAUAUUUUUAAUAAUUUCGUAAAAAUAAAAUAAUUUAAAAAACUUCUAUCAUAUAUUAUUUCUAAUCUAAUGUAAGUUUUUUAUUUUCACCUCAUCGCUACAUUUACGUUUAAAUCUAAACACAUACCUCAUCGUUGUUUCUAAUCUCAUCGCUAUAAUAUCCAAUCUCACCACUACAGUAACUAAUCUCAUUACCACUGUUGUUUUUAAGCUUAUCGAAAGUAUACAUACAGCCUAUUCAAAUUAAGCAUUACACUUUCAGUUUCGGUUCUAUCUUCAUCUGUUUUUGAUACUCUAGAUGACAUCUAGGCUCUGUUUAACUGUAAUUUUGAAAAGCAAAUUUUAACUUAAAAAGCACUUUUGACUUUAAAGUUAAAUAAAUUCCAUUUGUUUAAAAAUUGUAACUUAAUGAGAAACACUUUUGUUCAAAUGGAAAAAUUAAAAAUUUUAAUUUUUUGAGCCAAAACCACUUUUGAUUGGUAAUUUACUUUUCAUCUUCCAUUUUUCUCUCCCAACAACGUCUUGUUCAUUUUCUCUUUCAAAGCUCAUUCUCUAGUUCUCCUUCUCUUUUAAUUUUUUUUUAUUUUUCUAUUUUUUUCAAUGUUUUUGCUUCUCCCUUUUUUCCUACUCUCCUAAUCCCAUCUUCUCAUUUAAACUCACUAUUUAAUUCCAUUUCAGGUUAGGCUAUUUUUGGUUGCUCCAAAUAUGUUAACUUUCUCGUUUCACCUUUAAUUUUCUUGGGUUUUCUAUUUGGUUGCUGUGUUUGAUAUAUAGAUUUUUGUUUACUGGAUUUUUUUAUUUACAAAUUCUUAGCUCAUCAGUUUUCUUAUCUACAAAUCUCAGGUUAGCUUCUUUUUGUGUUAUAGUUUGUUGGGUUUAUAUAUAUACCAUUUUUAACUGCAAUUUGUUCUCUCAUGGAGAAUACUGGGAGUUUUAGAUUGGUUUUUGGGAUUUCAUUUCUCUUUUGUUUACUUAAUCUUUCAGGGGGAUUCAACCCUGUAAAUAACUAAUAAAUGACUCACUUGUUGAACCAAGUAGAAGAAAUCAAAACCCUUUGGAACACCAAGAAUUGGCAGACAUUGUAAAACUAAAAAAUUGAUCAAGGCUGAACACUUGAACUUCAUUUCCUUUUCCUCUUUUCCCUUUGUCUCAACUAAUUAAAGUUUGAAGAGUUUUGAGAAUGAUAUCACGUUGAUAAGCUGUUUUUGUAAGUACAAAUGGAAGGCUUAUGGAGGAGGAAUCGGAAGCCAGAUAUGCUAAAGUUCAAAAUGCUUAUGUAUUUGAUGUUUUCCAAAUAACUGCAAUCUGGUAGCUCAAUUACAUGUUCAUAUUAAUUCCAUUUUUUUAUAAUUGUUUCCUU